AUUGAACGCUGGCGGCAUGCUUUACACAUGCAAGUCGAACGGCAGCACGGGUGCUUGCACCUGGUGGCGAGUGGCGAACGGGUGAGUAAUGCAUCGGAACGUGCCCAUGAGUGGGGGAUAGCCCGGCGAAAGCCGGAUUAAUACCGCAUACGCCCUUAGGGGGAAAGCGGGGGAUCUUCGGACCUCGCGCUAUUGGAGCGGCCGAUGUCGGAUUAGCUAGUAGGUGAGGUAAAGGCUCACCUAGGCGACGAUCCGUAGCUGGUCUGAGAGGAUGACCAGCCACACUGGGACUGAGACACGGCCCAGACUCCUACGGGAGGCAGCAGUGGGGAAUUUUGGACAAUGGGCGCAAGCCUGAUCCAGCCAUGCCGCGUGAGUGAAGAAGGCCUCGGUUGUAAG
rnacentral:rRNA from 1 species